CCUACGGGUGGCAGCAGUGGGGAAUAUUGGGCAAUGGAGGAAACUCUGACGCAGCAACGCCGCGUGAAUGAUGAAGGUCUUCGGAAUGUAAAGUUCUAUUCGAAGGGAAGAAGAAAGUGACGGUAGCUUAGGAAUAAGCGGCGGCUAACGACGUGCCAGCAGCCGCGGUAAGACGUAGGAGGCACGCGUUAGGAGGAAUGACUGGGAGUAAGGGGGGAGUAGGGGGUGGGAGAAGGUUGUAACGUAACUCCGUGGCUCAACCGUGGCACUGCUUCCGAAACGGUCGGACUGGAGUGCAGGAGGGGCAAGUGGAAUUCCUAGUGUAGCGGUGAAAUGCGUAGAUAUUAGGAGGAACACCAGUGGCGAAGGCGACUUGCUGGACUGUAACUGACACUGAGGCUCGAACGCGUGGGGAGCAAACAGGAUUAGAUACCCUUGUAGUC
rnacentral:rRNA from 1 species